rnacentral:rRNA from 1 species
UACGGAGGGUGCAAGCAUUAAUCGGAAUUAUUGGGCGUAAAGGGUGCGUAGGCGGAAGAAUAAGUCAAACGUGAAAUGCCGAAGCUUAACUUCGGAACUGCAUUUGAAACUAUUCUUCUCGAGGGAAUGCGGAGAAAACGGAAUUCCAUGUGUAGCGGUGAAAUGCGUAGAUAUAUGGAAGAACACCUGUGGCGAAAGCGGUUUUCUAGCAUUCUCCUGACGCUGAG